CUUAUGUAUCAAGCUUGCACUACCAAAUCCAUCCAUGAACCAAUUAGUACGAACACUUUGAAUUUGGGCAACUUUAUCGAGCUUGCACCAUCAACAUCCCUAAUUCGCCUGUUGCACUGCCUUGGUGGCAAGAAAUCAGAAAUUAGGGCUUCAAAACUUGGGUGAAAGCUGGAGUUUAGAGCUUGAAGCUUGGGGAAAACAAGAAGUUAGGGAUUGAAGGCAUAGUUUGAGGUAAUUUCAAUAUUUUGUGUCCGAUUUUGCAGUGCAUGUGUACAUAUUUUCAUGGUUAUGGCUAGUUGCACCUUCACUGUUUCUUGUCAAAUUUAGCUUUUUGGCUCAAUCUUGUUAGUCUCUGAUUUAAGCAUCAACAAGUUUUGAAUCCCUUUUGUUCUGUUCUUAUAGAUUUGUUGGAUUUUUAUGGGGAAAUUGUCCUUUUAAGUGACAAGUUUUGUUUUUCUUUUCUGAAAUCAUUAGCUGGUUUUACACGACUUUAUCCCGGUUAGAGCAGCAAAUACAUAGUUUCAACAUGGAUAUGGAAAUAGUUUCCAAUUAUGUUCUACAAAAAAUAUGUCCAUGUGUUGUAGAUGUAGAGCAAGUACUAAGUUGUGUAUAACUUGUAGUUUUCUUCUACUUUAGAUCCAUAUGAGAGUAUGAAAUAUUUAGUUUAUAGACAUUAAUGUGGGUUAUGGUGUGAUAUUUUCUUCGUUCUUCACAAAUGUCACAAGUAUGAGAGCUUCCAGUCUCAGUGCCUCUCAAACUCACCAUUCCCCAAUAAUAAAGAAAAUUAAGAUAAAAUCACCAACAGAGCUGGCCAGCCAACGAUGGCUAUGGCCGAGUGCUUUGCUCAUCCGAUGUUUAACAUGCGGUUUGGGCUUGGUACAGCUUUGGUGAUGCAAGAAGCGAAUGUCUAUCCAGACGCAUAUGCCCUCCAUUUCCAUGUUAGGUUUAUUUUCUUGCUUUUGAGCUUGAUAGGAUCCAUUUUGGUGGUAACUUGGCACCGAUUACGUGUUCUAAGAUUUGGGGGUUCUGCCUUGUUGGGCUUUACGUUAUUUUCAUGAUACUGAGCUUGAUCAUUGCAAUGUUCUGGGCAUGAUUCUGAUGAUGGUGAAGUAUCUAAGCUGCUGUACAUACCAUCUGUAGAACCGGCUAGAUGUGUCAAAAAGAACUCACUUACAGGACAUGUUCUCAUGAAGAAAAAGGAGGAUCGAGCAAGAAUUGAGAGACUUACAUUUGAUCAUUUUUGAAGAAUUACGCCUAACCAAAGAUGAGUACGAAGAAUUACAGAACCGUGGGUUCCUUUUCCUGUGAAGAGAAACAGCUUUUGAUUUUAUGUUUCCUUACUAGUAACUUCUGGUAGUCACCUUCCAUUCUUGCAAGAAUCACAGGAAAACCUUUGAUUUUAUCGAAAUACCAUACCUUAUUAGCUCCACGUCUGUAAUCCAAAGGUACCCGAGAAGUAUAGUAGCCACCUUCUAGUUCUAUUUGCCUUUCUUGUGACUUGUUUCCUUUCUGCUCCUAUUUGCCUUUCCAGUGACUUGUUUCCUUUCUCCCCUCCCUCAACUCUGUCCAUUUGAGAACUUUUGCACAAGGCUUUGGUGCAAGUAUUUGAAUUUGCAACGUUAAUCUGUGUUAAGGUGCUCAAUAUUUGUUAGUAAUUAAUCUCAUUUUGUUUCAGUAGAUGGUCUCUGUCUGUUCCAAAAUUAGAAAUUGGAGAAAUGGUUCUGCAUUUCAUUCGUUUUCUCUUCUUUUCCUGUCUAUUUAUAUGAAUAAGAAAGUCAUUUCAUGUGUACGGAUUUCUCUUCUGUUUUCUAGGAGGCAUAUAUGCAGUAAAUGAAACUGUUUGUAUGGGAUUUGUUAAGGCAUGGCUAAGAGAUUUUAAGCAAGUUUCACAGAGAUAAUAAGAAUAGUAAUUAAGAAUUCAAGUUAGAUUCUGGUUGUAGUUUCAAUAUGUGUCACCAUUGAUGUUUGCAGCAAUUAUCUCAUCUUUUUUUGUUCCUGGGACAGAGAGACUGCUCUCGAAGUUGUGAGAUUGCUGGCACAAAAGACCAAAGAAAUUGGAUUUGAGUUUCUUAAGCAUGUGAAAGAGCAGGAACUGGUAGCAAGCUUGUUGUUGGUGGCUCGUGAAAAGGUUAUGUCUCCCCCACUCCAUUUUCUCUGAGAAUCUAGUGAUACUGUACCACAGUACAUGGACUUAUUCCAAACAAAGUUUUCCUUGCAGCUUAACAUGACAGAAUUUGGUAUAAGAAGUAAAAGGGAAUUGAGAUGAAUUUGAUGCACUUCGGUGAUAACAUCAUUCCUAUUAGAAAGGUGAGGAUAUAAAUUCUUUGCAUUUCCAUUCUCUAUUGCAACUACUGUCUUAUUAAAAUUACAUAGUUUUCUAGAAAUCUGGUUUAGAUACCUUGGCAUGUAGAUGGUAUGAUUCUUUUACCACUUAUCAUGGGUGACUUUGUUUAACUUUUGUUUUGUAUGACUAUUCAUUCAAAUUCAAUGGUGUACAUUUGUAAUGGCAUAUUUUUUGAUUGAAUCUACUCUAAUGCAUGCUACUUUUCUUUCAUUGCAGUACAGUGUUGUUAAAUGCUCAUGAGGAAAUGAACAAUAGCUUGGGCUUUGGAUAUGCUCAUGAGGAUGGCUGCAUUUUGACAUAGAUUGCUGUUUUAGUCUAUAUUUUUGUUAUAGAGAUCUAAUACUCUGUUUUUUGGACUAGCCUAUAUUUUUGUUUAGAGAUCUAAGUACUCUGUUUUUUGGAUGGAUAAUGGUAAUUACUAACUGAGUUGAAAUGGGCUCAAUACUUUAGUUUUUUGGAUACAGACUAGUUUCAAGACAAAGCACAUGCAACUUCACUAAGCCUUUUGUCAAAUUGAAAGUUC
rnacentral:lncRNA from 1 species